CAUCGCAAUUAACUUAUCACUUGUUGUGUAAAUGGGCAGCCGAAGCACCCAGUGCAUGUUUCUCUCCUCAACGUCCACAUAGCGCAAAUAUGUAAUGUGCCCACUAAUAAGACAGAGAACAGCCUACACGAACAAAUGAUGUAGCUUGUUUCGAAAUGUAAAGUUAAGAAGUUGGCACGGAAGAAAAGAGGAUUAUAUACUCAGGAAAAAUGUGAAACGCGUGGAUGGGCUCCAGUUUCCCGCCGGAGCUUCACUUGGUGCACAAAUCAGAUGACGGGAAGCUUGCGGUGACCGGCUUCUUGUUUGAGGAAGGACUCUGGUUCGAAUUCAUAAUGCCUGCAAUGGGGAUGCAAGGUGACUUAGAAAUUAACGUUCAGAAUGAGAACAAGAGUGGGACAUGCCGGAGGAGUUGAUUCAUGGGUCGCAUGGUAGUUCCUAUGAACGCUGUUCCUUCUAAACCCGAGGCAGUCCGAUGGUAUCAGUUACAGAAACGCGGCCUCUUCUCGACGUCAAAGGCCACUUGGGGUGAAUUACACUUUCCCUUGGGGCAUUAGGGCACAUCAAGAUGAUGAAGCCGGAGAGGAACUACGGCACUCACAUGGGAUCCCUCACCAUGCGUGGAGGGUGUCACGGAGGACAGAUGACGACGGCACUGCGGGAAGGAGGAUGGAGGACGAGGGGGUCGCAGCUGCCCGAGAGUGCAGAAAUAACAAACAAAUUGAAGGAUCAUAAAGGCACGAGAUUUGUGCAGCGUAUAAAACAAUUAAAAGUAAUGGAAUCCGGGGGCUUUUGUCAGAGUGGAGAUAACUUAUCACACUCAAAGGUAAUUUUGCUAUUAUCAAAACUUUGAGGGGUACAUUUGCUAUUGUAUAGAAUGUAGGGAUAUUCUAGAUAUUUCAACAAAUUUGAGGGUAUUUGAGGGGUAUAUAUAUUAGUUCCCCUAAAUAUAAAGUACCCAUGUCGCAUACAAAACUUUGAAAGACUUACUGAGGUUAAAAAUCAUACUUUUAUUCCCUUUUGUUUUCUUUCUGUCUUUUUGAUCUAUGCUUUCCAAAUAGCAACCAAACUUGGACAUACUUAUUUAACUUGUUAUUUUUAUUAUAAAGAGAUAUUAUGUUUCUCUUUUGAUAUUUAUUCCAAGUUUUUUUAAGUCAUUCCAUAAUAAAAAGCAUUUAUCAUAUUCUUUACUAAUAAAUGACUAAUCAAUGUCUGGCCCUUCUCUGCGUUAAGGUGAUAAGAAUUUGAUUCGAUCCUGUGACAAGACUUUCAUUCGAAGUUAUACAAGACAAGACAAAUAAUAACUAAUAUCCUCAGAAAGUCAUUUGUUAUUUUGUGUGGACUCGUUUUAAAUUGUUUACUCUAACUAUGAUCUUCCCCAAUUUACUCCAAUAGAACUAAACUAUGUACUUCAAUCUUUGCUACUGUAUAGUCUUCUUGAAAGGUUUCUAUAGGGUUACACGAAGUGAUUAGUUCACUGAGAAACUACACGCAUCUUUAGAUCCAGUGAAAAAUAGGACUAAUGUCAACAUCCAGUCCCUGACUACUUAAAAAGCGCUAAACAAUAUUCUUAAUAAAAUCUUCACACCAUAUUAAUGGAUAAUAAUUUAACAAUACACAAGAAAAAGUUGAUAAAGCAGAAGGAUCGGAUAAUUUAAUAUGUUCAUUUCAGGUGAAGCACCACCAGUCAUGAGACAAGUUCAGGUCAAUAUUGUCUCCCAAUAAAAA